UUUAAAGAGAGUUUGAUCCUGGCUCAGGACGAACGCUGGCGGCGUGCCUAAUACAUGCAAGUCGAACGAACGGAGGAAGAGCUUGCUCUUCCAAAGUUAGUGGCGGACGGGUGAGUAACACGUGGGCAACCUGCCUGUAAGUUGGGGAUAACUCCGGGAAACCGGGGCUAAUACCGAAUGAUAAAGUGUGGCGCAUGCC
rnacentral:rRNA from 1 species